rnacentral:rRNA from 1 species
CUUCGUACUCCCCGAAAUGCAUUUAGGUGCAGCGUUGUAAAAGUUCUAUAGAGGUAGAGCUACUGAUUGGAUGCGGGGGCUUCACCGCCUACCAAUUCCUGACAAACUCCGAAUGCUAUAGAAUGAUUUACAGCAGUGAGGGCAUGGGUGCUAAGGUCCAUGUCCGAGAGGGAAAGAACCCGGACCAUCAGCUAAGGUCCCCAAGUGUAUACUAAGUUGAAUAAACGAGGUUUGACUGCCCAGACAGCUAGGAUGUUGGCUUGGAAGCAGCCAUUCAUUUAAAGAGUGCGUAACAGCUCACUAGUCGAGCGGUCAAGCAUGGAUAAUAAUCGGGCAUAAGUAUACCACCGAAGCUAUGGCUUUGUGAUUAAUCACAAGGGGUAGGGGAGCAUUCUAUGUGCGUUGAAGCUAAACUGCGAGGUUUAGUGGAGCGUAUAGAAAAGAAAAUGUAGGCAUAAGUAACGACAAUGCGGGCGAGAAACCCGCACACCGAAAGACUCAGGAUUCCUCAGCUAUGCUAAUCAGCUGAGGGUUAGUCGGGACCUAACGCGAACCCGGAAGGGGUAGUGGAUGGACAAUCGGUUAAUAUUCCGAUACCUGCCGGCGCUAAACGUGACGGAGGGGAAAAGAUAGUGCGUACUGACGGAAUAGUACGUUGAAGCAACUGUUAAGGUUGUUAUAGUACACCAAGGCUUCGGCUGCGGUGAUAAUCUAUCGGCUCCACUUCCAAGAAAAGCAAGCCAGGCAGCCCGUACCGUAAACCGACACAGGUAGUUGGGAUGAGAAUUCUAAGGUGCUCGAGAGAUUCAUGGCUAAGGAACUAGGCAAAAUGGGCCCGUAACUUCGGGAGAAGGGUCGCCAGCAGCAAUGCUGGCCGCAGUGAAUAGGUCCAGGCGACUGUUUAUCAAAAACACAGGACUCUGCAAGUUGAAGACGACGUAUAGGGUCUGACACCUGCCCGGUGCCGGAAGGUUAAGUGGAGAUGUUAUUCUUCGGAAGAAGCAUUGAAAUGAAGCCCCGGUAAACGGCGGCCGUAACUAUAACGGUCCUAAGGUAGCGAAAUUCCUUGUCGGGUAAGUUCCGACCUGCACGAAUGGUGUAACGAUCUGGACACUGUCUCAGCCAUGAGCUCGGUGAAAUUGUAGUAUCGGUGAAGAUGCCGAUUACCCGCUACGGGACGAAAAGACCCCGUGCACCUUUACUAUAGCUUCGUAUUGACCUUGGAUAAGUAAUGUGUAGGAUAGGUGGGAGACUUUGAUCGUGCGUCGCCAGGCGUGCGUGAGUCAUUGUUGAAAUACCACCCUUUGCUUAUCUAGGGCCUAAUCUGCUUUAAAGCGGAGACAGUGCGUGGUGGGUAGUUUGACUGGGGUGGUCGCCUCCAAAAGAGUAACGGAGGCUUCUAAAGGUACCCUCAGCACGCUUGGUAACCGUGCGUAGAGUGCAAUGGCAUAAGGGUGCUUGACUGAGAGACCUACAAGUCGAUCAGGUUGGAAACAAGAGCAUAGUGAUCCGGUGGUUCCGCAUGGAAGGGCCAUCGCUCAAAGGAUAAAAGGUACGCC